rnacentral:rRNA from 1 species
GAUGAACGCUGGCGGCGUGCCUAAUACAUGCAAGUCGAGCGAACAGACGAGGAGCUUGCUCCUCUGACGUUAGCGGCGGACGGGUGAGUAACACGUGGAUAACCUACCUAUAAGACUGGGAUAACUUCGGGAAACCGGAGCUAAUACCGGAUAAUAUAUUGAACCGCAUGGUUCAAUAGUGAAAGACGGUUUUGCUGUCACUUAUAGAUGGAUCCGCGCCGCAUUAGCUAGUUGGUAAGGUAACGGCUUACCAAGGCAACGAUGCGUAGCCGACCGAGAGGGUGAUCGGCCACACUGGAACUGAGACACGGUCCAGACUCCUACGGGAGGCAGCAGUAGGGAAUCUUCCGCAAUGGGCGAAAGCCUGACGGAGCAACGCCGCGUGAGUGAUGAAGGUCUUCGGAUCGUAAAACUCUGUUAUUAGGGAAGAACAAAUGUGUAAGUAACUAUGCACGUCUUGACGGUACCUAAUCAGAAAGCCACGGCUAACUACGUG